rnacentral:rRNA from 1 species
GACGAACGCUGGCGGCGUGCUUAACACAUGCAAGUCGAACGGAGUGGCGAACGGGUGAGUAACACGUGGGUGACCUGCCCUGCACUUCGGGAUAAGCCUGGGAAACUGGGUCUUAUACCGGCUAGUGUGGGAUGGGCCCGCGGCCUAUCAGCUUGUUGGUGGGGUAAUGGCCUACCAAGGCGGCGACGGGUAGCCGGCCUGAGAGGGUGGACGGCCACAGUGGGACUGAGAGACGGACCAGAGUGCUACAGGGGGCAGCAGGGGGGAAUAUUGCACAAUGGGCGGAAGCCUGAGGAAGAGGCGCUGGGGGGGGGAUGACGGCCUUGGGGGGGGAAAGUCCUUUCAGCAUAGACGCGGUAGAUGGAGAAGAAGCACCGGCUAACUACGUGCCAGCAGCCGCGGUAAUAC